AUCGCCAGUUGGCUUGGGGUUCAAGCGCAUCAAAAACCUCGCCCACUCUUCGCCUCCUUCCCCAUCAAUGGCGGCUUUUUGACCUCCAUCGCGAAAGUAGUCCUAAAUGUUACCGGUGUUCCGGGCAUCGCUGUCAGACAUCUUCUUCUGAGACCUUUGAAUGCUUUCGAGGGCCCGAAUUCCUAGCUGCGGCCGGGAACUUUAUCGGCUUCCUCGUUGCCUUUGAAUGCUCAAGUUGAGUUGCUGUCCAAGGUAACUAACAAAGUAUAUUUUGACAUACGCAUUGGCAACCCUGUGGAAAAGGACGUUGGGAAAAAUGUGAUAGGAUUGUACGGAGAUGAUGUCCCCCCAGACAGACAGCUGAAAAUUUUCGUGCUCUUUGCACAGGAGAGAAGCGCCUUGGAUAUAAAGGAUCUUCAUUUCAUCGCGUAAUCAAGGAUUUCAUGAUUCAAGGUGGAGACUUUGAGAAGGGAAAUACACCAUGGUUGAACAAGAGACAUGUCGUCUUUGGUCAAGUUCUUGAAGGCAUGGGGAUGUGAUGAGGUUGAUUGAUUCUCAAGAGAUGGAUCGUGGAGAUCGGCCCAAGAAGAGCGUUAUCAUUAGUGACUGGUGAACUACCGGUGGUUUAAACUUUUUGAUUCAGAAUAAUAUCAUCUGUCCCUAGUCAUCACCAUUUUUUCCCCUUAAGAAGUUGCGUUAUGCUUGCCUCAUUGUCACAGAUCCUUACUGUUGUAUGGAUGUAUCCAAAUAGCAUUUUGCAGGCUGUAAUAUGAUCUAUAAGGAAUUAGAAAAAUAAUCAGAGACGUUUUCAUUGCAACAAGAUGCUUGAGAUCAAACGGACAAACUGGAGUUACUCCAUUUUUAGCAGGGAGGCU